rnacentral:rRNA from 1 species
UACGAAGGGGGCUAGCGUUGUUCGGAAUCACUGGGCGUAAAGGGCGCGUAGGCGGCUUUUCAAGUCGGGGGUGAAAGCCUGUGGCUCAACCACAGAAUUGCCUUCGAUACUGUUAGGCUUGAGACCGGAAGAGGUGAGUGGAACUGCGAGUGUAGAGGUGAAAUUCGUAGAUAUUCGCAAGAACUCCAGUGGCGAAGGCGGCUCACUGGUCCGGUUCUGACGCUGAGGCGCGAAAGCGUGGGGAGCAAACAGG